GCUAUCGGGUGUCUUUCUUCUCACAUGGAAAUUGCCUGGGAAGCUACUGAAAUGUUGGCUCUGGAGUCAGCUGGCUGUCCUGAGCUUUUGAGUCCCUUGGAAGGAUUCCGGGGAGUUGGCCGAUAGGCUCCAGGACCUGGGGAGCAGGGAGGAUGAUGGCAGGACCGAGGCUGAUGGCGGCCCCUCUGUGCCAGGCGCUCUCUGGUGAUCUGCGACCUGCUGGCUGGGGGUCCCGUUCUACACACAGGGAAAUGGAAGUCCUCAGAGACAAAACAACACCCAGGGACUGGGGGAGUGCACAGAGCAGGAUUUGAACCCAGGUCCUGUCCUCGCCAGUCCAGCGGAGAGCCGACCCCGCAGAACAAAGCAGUGGCUCCCGGCCUCUCCUCCCCCCGGACUAGUCCAUCUUCCUCCCUUCGCUGUGCUUCUGUGGCUCUGCUCCUGCCAGAUUCAUACCGGCUAAGAAAACCACUUCUAAAGAGCUUUAAACAAGAACUGCGUUUUGUUUAUUUUCCCCUUUACUCAUUCCAUUUCCAAGACAGUAUAAAGUAUUGCUUAAAAAAGCUGGAGUUUUCUUCCUUGAUCCCAUGCCGCAGAAGUGACUGCAGCUGAUGACCUGGCGUGCGCAGCACCAGACUUUGUUUCUAGGCAAAUAGGAACCUUUAAAGAUACAGGUAGAUAUCUACGCACAGAGGACUUUUUAUUUAUACAGAACGAGUAUAUAUAAGCCGACGUAUUAUAGCAACGUUUAUAAAAGCCGAAGACUGGAAACACCUGCCAUGGAACCACCCGAGUAGGGGUCCAGUUCGAUCUAUGAUAUAGCCUUCGAUAGAAUUAGUGCGUGUCUGUUAGGAAAAGAGCCGUGCACGUACAGCCGUGGAGCUGCUCACAGUAUGUCGUUCAGGUAAAAAAGUGAAGGACAAAGCGUAUGCAUCAUGUGGACUCACUUAAUUUCCUUGGCAGCUUCACGUGGCUGCACCUCUGGCGUGGGCAGCCCUUGCAGGCACAGCCCAGAGUUCCCUGUGCGGCUUUGACAGCAGCGUCAGUGGCUGGAGGUCUCUGGCCUAAGCUGCCUGUGACAUCAGGACACCUCCGGAGAGCCAUGGCCACCCCAGAGGAAGUUACUUGCUGCCAUGUGCAGGGGAAGUCCUGUGGAAGAGAAAAAGUCUUCUCAGGACGCACAUUAAUUUUAGAAGCUUAAAACUGUUUGGAAAAUCAGGUCCCAACAGGACGGUCCGUGGGAAACUUCUGUGGUUAUCAACCAGCUUCCUCUGCCAAAGGAGAAAGCAGCGUGCCCCAGUGCUUCCAGCUGUUGCCAAGGCGACUUCUGCCUCCAUCCACGUGCCAGGUAAGAAACUCGGAGGACUGUG
rnacentral:lncRNA from 1 species